rnacentral:tRNA from 1 species
CGACCUGCAGGGCGUCGGCAUCCGCGUGCACUGGGACUCCACGGCCCACCGGGCCGGAUUCGUCACCCGGCAGGUCGAC